CGCAUCUGUGCAUGCAGCAUAUCAAUAAGCGGAGGAAAAGAAACUAACAAGGAUUCCCUUAGUAACGGCGAGUGAAGCGGGAAGAGCUCAAAUUUGAAAUCUUCAAGGUUUUACCUUGACGAAUUGUAGUUUAAAGAAGUGUUUUCUGUUGAAGUUUGGUAAAAGUUCUUUGGAGUAGGACAUCAUAGAGGGUGAGAAUCCCGUAUUUGACCAUUAUUUUCAGCUGUGUGAUACACUUUCAAAGAGUCGGAUUGUUUGGGAAUGCAGUCCAAAAUGGGUGGUAAAUUUCAUCUAAGGCUAAAUAUUGGCGAGAGACCGAUAGCGAACAAGUACCGUGAGGGAAAGAUGAAAAGAACUUUGAAAAGAGAGUUAAACAGUACGUGAAAUUGUCAAAAGGGAAGCGUUUGACACCAGUGUUGUUUUCUCGAAAAUCAAUUAAAAAGAGUUAGAUUUUGUUGUGUAUUGACCUUAACAGCUUGCAUUUCAAUUUUCUUGCUUUUUUUAAUGCACCUUUCGUUUAACAAGUCAACAUCAGUUUCUUUUGUUGUAAAAAGGUCAUUGGAAGGUGGCUUUCUUUUCGGAGAAAGUGUUUAUAGCCUUUGACUCCUGCAAUCGGAGAGACUGAGGUCUGCAGCGUAGAUCCUUCGGGGUUAGAUACAUUUGUGCUAAGUUAUAGCUUUUUAUAGACAACUUGUUGAUUAUGAUUAGUCUUGUAGCUUACUCGCUUAUGCUAUUUUACCUACGCUUAGGAUGUUGACACACGCGCGUGCUCG
rnacentral:rRNA from 1 species